CACCUCUCCGGGUGGCACCUGGAGAGUUUCCAGUACUCUACCAGUCUUUAAACUAUGGGGGGAAGAGUCUAGCAGAGGCAUACUCAUUCCAUUCCUAGCUUGGGCAGUGUCUAGCGAGUGGAAGACAAUCUGCUACAAGU